AUUGAACGCUGGCGGCAUGCCUUACACAUGCAAGUCGAACGGCAGCAUGAUCUAGCUUGCUCGAUUGAUGGCGAGUGGCGAACGGGUGAGUAAUACAUCGGAACGUGCCCUGUAGUGGGGGAUAACUAGUCGAAAGAUUAGCUAAUACCGCAUACGACCUGAGGGUGAAAGUGGGGGACCGCAAGGCCUCAUGCUAUAGGAGCGGCCGAUGUCUGAUUAGCUAGUUGGUGAGGUAAAGGCUCACCAAGGCGACGAUCAGAAGCUGGUCUGAGAGGACGAUCAGCCACACUGGGACUGAGACACGGCCCAGACUCCUACGGGAGGCAGCAGUGGGGAAUUUUGGACAAUGGGCGAAAGCCUGAUCCAGCAAUGCCGCGUGUGUGAAGAAGGCCUUCGGGUUGUAAAGCACUUUUGUCCGGAAAGAAAUGGCUCUGGUUAAUACCUGGGGUCGAUGACGGUACCGGAAGAAUAAGGACCGGCUAACUACGUG
rnacentral:rRNA from 1 species